rnacentral:tRNA from 1 species
ACUGCGAUAGCUCGGUUGAUGGAGUAUCUGCCCGGUAUGCGGAGUGUUGCCGGUUCGAUUCCGGCUCGCGGCA